rnacentral:rRNA from 1 species
CUUGUACACACCGCCCGUCACACCACGAAAGCUGGUAACACCCGAAGCCAGUGGCCUAACCCUUUUGGGAUGGAGCUGUCGAAGGUGGGGUCAGCGAUUGGGGUG